GAUGAACGCUAGCUACAGGCUUAACACAUGCAAGUCGAGGGGAAACGAUAUUGGAAGCUUGCUUCCGAUAGGCGUCGACCGGCGCACGGGUGAGUAACGCGUAUCCAACCUGCCCACCACUUGGGGAUAACCUUGCGAAAGUAAGACUAAUACCCAAUGAUAUCUCUAGAAGACAUCUGAAGGAGAUUAACGCUUUAACGGUGAUGGAUGGGGAUGCGUCUGAUUAGCUUGUUGGCGGGGUAACGGCGCACCAAGGCGACGAUCAGUAGGGGUUCUGAGAGGCAGGUCCCCCACAUUGGAACUGAGACACGGUCCAAACUCCUACGGGAGGCAGCAGUGAGGAAUAUUGGUCAAUGGACGAGAGUCUGAACCAGCCAAGUAGCGUGCAGGAUGACGGCCCUAUGGGUUGUAAACUGCUUUUAUAAGGGAAUAAAGUGAGCCUCGUGAGGCUUUUUGCAUGUACCUUAUGAAUAAGGACCGGCUAAUUCCGUGCCAGCCGCCGCGGUAA
rnacentral:rRNA from 1 species